rnacentral:rRNA from 1 species
GCCCCGGUAAACGGCGGCCGUAACUAUAACGGUCCUAAGGUAGCGAAAUUCCUUGUCGGGUAAGUUCCGACCUGCACGAAUGGCGUAAUGAUGGCCAGGCUGUCUCCACCCGAGACUCAGUGAAAUUGAACUCGCUGUGAAGAUGCAGUGUACCCGCGGCAAGACGGAAAGACCCCGUGAACCUUUACUAUAGCUUGACACUGAACAUUGAGCCUUGAUGUGUAGGAUAGGUGGGAGGCUUUGAAGUGUGGACGCCAGUCUGCAUGGAGCCGACCUUGAAAUACCACCCUUUAAUGUUUGAUGUUCUAACGUGGGCCCGUAAUCCGGGUUGCGGACAGUGUCUGGUGGGUAGUUUGACUGGGGCGGUCUCCUCCUAAAGAGUAACGGAGGAGCACGAAGGUUGGCUAAUCCUGGUCGGACAUCAGGAGGUUAGUGCAAUGGCAUAAGCCAGCUUGACUGCGAGCGUGACGGCGCGAGCAGGUGCGAAAGCAGGUCAUAGUGAUCCGGUGGUUCUGAAUGGAAGGGCCAUCGCUCAACGGAUAAAAGGUACUCCGGGGAUAACAGGCUGAUACCGCCCAAGAGUUCAUAUCGACGGCGGUGUUUGGCACCUCGAUGUCGGCUCAUCACAUCCUGGGGCUGAAGUAGGUCCCAAGGGUAUGGCUGUUCGCCAUUUAAAGUGGUACGCGAGCUGGGUUUAGAACGUCGUGAGACAGUUCGGUCCCUAUCUGCCGUGGGCGCUGGAGAACUGAGGGGGGCUGCUCCUAGUACGAGAGGACCGGAGUGGACGCAUCACUGGUGUUCGGGUUGUCAUGCCAAUGGCACUGCCCGGUAGCUAAAUGCGGAAGAGAUAAGUGCUGAAAGCAUCUAAGCACGAAACUUGCCCCGAGAUGAGUUCUCCCUGACCCUUUAAGGGUCCUGAAGGAACGUUGAAGACGACGACGUUGAUAGGCCGGGUGUGUAAGCGCAGCGAUGCGUUGAGCUAACCGGUACUAAUGAACCGUGAGGCUUAACCUU